rnacentral:rRNA from 1 species
GACGAACGCUGGCGGCGUGCCUAACACAUGCAAGUCGAACGGUUCCAUUGUUAACACUGAGUAUAUUGCCAAGCGUCAUGCGAGAGCGAUAGCUCGAGCAUCACGCUAAUCCCAAGAGCAUAGCACAUGCAAGGGAUGUCUCGAGAGAGACAGACCAAGAGCAUAGCACAUGCAAGGGAUGGCAGUAUAUUGAGUGUUAACGAUGGGAUAGUGGCGGACGGGCGAGUAACGCGUGAGCAACCUGCCUUGUACUGGGGGAUAACACCGGGAAACCGGUGCUAAUACCGCAUAAUACUACAGGAACGCAUGUUUUUGUAGUCAAAACUCCGGUGGUACAAGAUGGGCUCGCGUCCAAUUAGCUAGUUGGUGAGGUAACGGCCCACCAAGGCGACGAUUGGUAGCCGAACUGAGAGGUUGAUCGGCCGCAUUGGGACUGAGACACGGCCAGACUCCUACGGGAGCAGCA